rnacentral:lncRNA from 1 species
GCACGUCAUACUUCUCUGUAUUGUAUACUGUUAUAAUGGAAGCCUUCAAAAUCGAAGAGUACUCAGCACGUGCACCGUGGAUAGACCACCCCUGCUCUGCAAGCUCCUAUUUCUUCGGCUUUGUGAUGUGUGUCUGCGAUUCAACUAUUCAGAGGAGCUCUGGUCAAUUUUGGACUCACUCUAUACCCAAGGUUUGUAACACAACCACAGCCAGCAAACACAGAGACACCUUCGUGCAGUGUAUUGAGUCAAUAAAGAACAUUGUGAGCGGCUUCCUUCAG